rnacentral:rRNA from 1 species
UACAGAGGGUGCGAGCGUUGUCCGGAAUCACUGGGCGUAAAGGGCGCGUAGGUGGCGACCCAAGUCAAUGGUGAAAGCUCGCCGCUUAACGGCGAGUCGGCCACUGAUACUGGGUUGCUGGAGCACUGUAGAGGCAGAUGGAAUUCCGGGUGUAGCGGUGGAAUGCGUAGAGAUCCGGAAGAACACCGGUGGCGAAGGCGGUCUGCUGGGCAGUUGCUGACACUGAGGCGCGACAGCGUGGGGAGCAAACAGGAUUAGAUACCCCAGUAGUCC